rnacentral:lncRNA from 1 species
CUGGCAUCUUGUUGGAUUAAAAGGGCAAGGGGGCUUCUCUGGUAUUGUCAGGGGGUUGACACAGGGGAGGCCAGGGAGAAAACAUCUCCUUCCAUCUCCUGCUAAAGUUAUAGGUGUUUGUUUCUUUCUUUUUCCAGGUCAUCACACUUUACAGAAACUUUGUCAUCUUCCAGGAGUCUGAAAUGCAUCUCUCUCUGAUUUCACUCAGAGAAAGCUUCCCUCCUCUUAGGAGCUCCAGAAUUAUGUUUCACAGUGUCAAGCCCUGGGAAAAACAAAAUUCUUCUUACUUGAUUGCCCAAGCACAAGUCCCAGGGUCAUCUCUGUUUGACUUAAUUGACUUGAAUUAUGUCACGUGAACAUCUGAGCCAAUCACCAUGACCAUGAGCAUAUUACUUUCUGAUUGGCCUGACCUUGGUCACACACCUACCAUGGUGCUUGGACUACAGUGAUCUCCACAAUAAAGAACAGUAGAGAGUGAGCUUCCUAGCAGGAGCUGGAUGGACAACAAAAACUGUCUAAUGUGAACUACGACCAAGGAGGAGAGGCCAGUCAAAGCAGAAAUAAGGUAAGAAAUGCCCUGACUUCUCUUAGUUCUCCAAUCUCCAAAUAUUGCCUCUCAUUGGCUAGUCUACAAGGCAGCUAGCAAGAAGUCUAGAAAAUGUCAUUUUCAGGACAAAAGAGAAGAAUAUAUCUGAGACCAAGGAAAAAUUAAUGACACCCUCCUUGUAGCAAGAAAUGAAUUGAGAUUGCUUUCCCAUGGAAAAUUAACAGCUUCAUCUUAAUCCUUUUCUUCGCUAUCGUAGAAGAAUGUGAAGCCUUUCUGCUAUUGAGGAAAGGGAGACUCAGUUUUUCAGAGUUUGGCCAUAGGUCCUAGAGGAUAUUGAGACAGCCAGGUCGGAUGGGGUCCCCAUCCUGAGUGCUGGGGUGGAAGUUCCUACUGUUUGCAAGUUCCACACAGGAAGCCUGGCCCCUCCUCUUCCUGUGUGGAAACUGGGCUUCCAAUGGCUGGCAGGAAGUGCUCUAGCAGGGACUCUGGCCUAAUGAGAGUCUUUGUUUCCUCCUUUCUUUUCACCCAGUAAAGCCCUGCCUUACCAUUCAAAUUGUCUGCAAGCCUGAAUUUUCACGGCUGUGGGACAAAGAACCCCAUCUUUAGCUGAACUAAGGAAAAGUCCUACAACAUUUUUGGCACCCAAAUGUGGGGCAUGAGAAGUGAUGAGUAAAAUGAGGACUCAAACUCUCACACUGUUGUUUCUAAGCCUUUUCAUCCUCAAACUUCUGAACAUGAGGGAAACCAUACCCCCAUCCCCUGUCACUCCCAGGCCUUUUCAUGGCCUUUUCUUUCUGUUUUCAGAGACGAACUGGUGAGCAGCAGCUCCCCACCACUUCUCACUCAUUGUGAGUGCUGGGGUGCAUGGCCCAACGGUCCCACAUAGCUGGUUGGCUGGUUUCCAGCCAUAAGCUGCCACAGUCUUCCCUUCCCCUUCCCUUUCCCCUUCCUCUCCCCCAGCCAAAGGGUUUGCUCCAUUGGACAGUAAUUAAGCUUAAACUUUUUACCCUGGUGGAGGAAACUGUUGCAUAAGAAUAAGAGGUUCUUCCUCAGUAUUUAUUUCCUUUCCUCUUCUCCACCGUGUUGGCAGUUAACUUUUACAUUUUUUUUUCUUUUAGAUGUUUUGCUAGGCCUGCCCUCAUCAACUAUCACUGUGUAGUCUUUGCAAAGUUUUGGUUGUGAAAUCAAGCCUCCAUCUUGUUUUACAUCCUGAGGGCAUGGCUUGUAACUCCUGUUGGGCAAGGCUUUGUUUAGCAAUUCUGUCUUAGGGAAUAAGUUUCUUUCUGGUUUGGUAUCUGCAUGUUUUCCCAGAUCUGCCUCUUAAAGGACCCCACGCAGCGACUGGGUUUUCUUCUGCCUGUCUAUGUAUGUAUUGUGUGUGACAUUUAAGCUUAAAAAAACCAAGUACUUGGAUCUAAUAUAUUUUAAAUAUAAAAUCUGUGGUACCUUUCAGUUCGUGUGACUUUAAUCUUUGAGAAAUAAAAGCAGCC